GGAAACUCGGGCUAAUACCGGAUGAGACCGCGGGAUUCUCGGAUCCUGCGGGGAAAGGUGGCCUCUGCUUGCAAGCUACCGCUCGUGGAUCGGCCUGCGCCCCAUUAGCUAGUUGGUGAGGUAACGGCUCACCAAGGCGAAGAUGGGUAGCUGAUCUGAGAGGAUGAUCAGCCACACUGGAACUGAGACACGGUCCAGACUCCUACGGGAGGCAGCAGUCGGGAAUUUUGGGCAAUGGGCGAAAGCCUGACCCAGCAACGCCGCGUGAGGGAUGAAGGCCUUCGGGUCGUAAACCUCUGUCAGGAGGGAAGAAUUCGCGCUCGAAUAAUACGCGAGAGCGUUGACGGUACCUCCAAAGGAAGCGCCGGCUAACUCCGUGCCAGCAGCCGCGGUAA
rnacentral:rRNA from 1 species